rnacentral:rRNA from 1 species
GCUUUAAGCAUGCAAGUUGAGCGAGAAAUACCGUUCUUCGGGAUGGUAUGGAAAGCAGCAAACGGGUGAGUAACACGUAACUACUAACCCAGUGGUGGGGGAUAGUAUAAAGAAAUUUAUAGUAAUCCCGCAUACGCUUUACGAAGGAAAGCCUCUUUUGAGGUGCCAUUGGACAGGGUUGCGCUCCACUAGUUAGACGGUAGGGUAAUGGCCUACCGUGACGAUGAUGGAUAGUCGGGCUGAGAGGUUGUUCGGCCACAUUGGGACUGAGAUACGGCCCAGACUCCUACGGGAGGCAGCAGCUAGGAAUAUUCCGCAAUGGGCGAAAGCCUGACGGAGCGAUGUCGCGUGCAUGAUGAAUGCCUUUACGGGUUGUAAAGUGCUUUUUUUCGGGAAGAUGAUAAGAGAUAUAGUCUGAAUAUUGACGGUACCGAAAGAAUAAGUCCUGGCUAAUUCCGUGCCAGCAGCCGCGGUAAUACGGAAGGGACGAGCGUUGUUCGGAUUUAUUGGGCGUAAAGCGAGUGUAGGUGGAUGUAUAAGUGGGUCUAUUCAGCAUCGAGCUUAACUUGAUGAUCGGAUCUAAACUGUACGUCUAGAGUAGGCUAGAGGAUACUGGAAUUCCGGGUGUAGGGGUGGAAUCUAUAGAUAUCCGGAGGAACACCGAUGGCGAAGGCAAGUAUCUGGGACCAAACUGACACUGAGACUCGAAAGCCAGGGGAGCGAACGGGAUUAGAUACCCCGGUAGUCCUGGCCGUAAACGUUGUCAACUAGAUUAUAUCUGUAUUACAACUCGGGUAUGAUCCAAGCUAACGUGAUAAGUUGACCGCCUGGGGAGUAUACGCGCAAGCAUGAAACUCAAAGGAAUUGACGGGGGCCCGCACAAGCGGUGGAGCAUGUGGUUUAAUUCGAUGAUACGCGAGUAAUCUUACCUGGAUUUGACAUUGUAGUGACAAUCAGUGAAAGCUGAUCUCCCUUCGGGGCACUAUGACAGGUGCUGCAUGGCUGUCGUCAGCUCGUGUCGUGAGAUGUGGUGGUUAAGUCCCACAACGAGCGCAACCCUUGUCUUGUGUUGCUAAUGUACCUUCGGGUGCAUGCACUCUCAAGAGACUGCUGCUGAAAGGCAGAGGAAGGAAAGGAUGACGUCAAGUCCUCAUGGCUCUUACAUUCAGGGCUACACACGUGCUACAAUGGCUACUACAAUGCGUUGCAAACUUGCGAAAGUGAGCUAAUCGUCAAAAGUAGUCUCAGUUCGGAUCGCAGUCUGAAACUCGACUGCGUGAAGCUGGAAUCGCUAGUAAUCGGAUAUCAUUAUGAUCCGGUGAAUACGUUCUCGGGCCUUGUACACACCGCCCGUCACACCACCCGAAUGGAUUGAUCCCGAAG